rnacentral:rRNA from 1 species
UACGUAGGGUGCAGGCGUUAAUCGGAAUUACUGGGCGUAAAGCGUGCGCAGGCGGUUUGCUAAGACAGGUGUGAAAUCCCCGGGCUUAACCUGGGAACUGCGCUUGUAACUGGCAAGCUGGAGUGUGGCAGAGGGGGGUGGAAUUCCACGUGUAGCAGUGAAAUGCGUAGAGAUGUGGAGGAACACCGAUGGCGAAGGCAGCCCCCUGGGCUAACACUGACGCUCAGGCACGAAAGCGUGGGGAGCAAACAGG